rnacentral:tRNA from 1 species
UCCCUGGUGGUCUAGCAGUUAGGACUCAGCAAUUUCACUGCUGCUGCCGAGGUUCAAUUCCUAGUUCUGAGAA